rnacentral:rRNA from 1 species
GACGAACGCUGGCGGCGUGCCUAAUACAUGCAAGUCGAGCGCGUGAAACUAACUGAACUCUUCGGAGUGAUGUUAGUGGAACGAGCGGCGGACGGGUGAGUAACACGUGGGCAACCUGCCUGUAAGACUGGGAUAACUCGCGGAAACGUGAGCUAAUACCAGAUGAUACUUUGAACUGCAUAGUUCAAAGAUGAAAGACGGCUUUUAUGCUGUCACUUACAGAUGGGCCCGCGGCGCAUUAGCUAGUUGGUGGGGUAACGGCUCACCAAGGCAACGAUGCGUAGCCGACCUGAGAGGGUGAUCGGCCACACUGGGACUGAGACACGGCCCAGACUCCUACGGGAGGCAGCAGUAGGGAAUCUUCCGCAAUGGACGAAAGUCUGACGGAGCAACGCCGCGUGAGUGAUGAAGGUUUUCGGAUCGUAAAACUCUGUUGUUAGGGAAGAAUAAGUACUAAAGUA